CACUUCCCUGCAGCUUGUGCAGUCAAUAGCUGGUCCUGGUAGCACUUUUUGCCUGGUGCCUUGGUCCAGGUAGGAGCAUGGGCUUCUUUGAGGACAAUUCCUUGAAUUUAAUACUUAUUCUUCAAUAAGCACUUCAAUAAGCAGAAGCACGGCCUGAUUGAUUCCUUGUGCAUUUCUCCCUGGUGCUCCUGCUGGGAUCCUCAGCCAUCCCCUGUCUCCCUUCCCCUCGCUGGGGACCUCCUGCUCUCCCUCACCUGCCCCCAAGCAGGAACAAAGCAGGAACCACGCACUGCUGAGGCUGCUACAGCUCUGCCACUCUUGAAAACUGGUUAUCGGUCGGAUUUGUUUGGAAGGAGCUGCUUGGUAACAACAUGUGCACUGUGACUGUGCAGGACCCAGGCUCGCUGGGCAAAUCUGCAAGCAGGACAGCAAGGGCUUAGACAGGUAACCUGUCUGUUCCUCUCACUUUGGCUUUAACUGUGGCGAGAAGACCCUGGUGGGUUUGCUCAAGGGGCACUCUGCUCCCCAACACAGAUGAACACGCCAGAGGGGUCACCUGAACUGAGAGUCCGUUUGGGAUUGUUGCUAUUGCCGAAGAGCCCAGUGCUUGUUGUGCGGGAGAUAAGCUUGCCACACCGUGCAAGAGGAAAUUGCGGAGCAAUUUGCUGGAGGGGCACAGAAAAUGAGGAUAGUACAGAUUGUCCAGCAUUUCCUGGGUGUCUGAUAAUUUCUUCACAGCCUUAAAAUCUGUGAGCAGCUGGGCUGGCUCGCUGCAGAUGCCCACUCAUCAGUGCCUGCCCAGUCUCUCUGCCAGAGGAAGCACCAGUGGCCAAAGGCCAAGUGAGGCUGGUGGUUGGAGACCAGAGAACCAA